AGUGAACGCUGGCGGUAGGCCUAACACAUGCAAGUCGAACGGCAGCACAGGAGAGUUUGCUCUCUGGGUGGCGAGUGGCGGACGGGUGAGGAAUACAUCGGAAUCUACUCUGUCGUGGGGGAUAACGUAGGGAAACUUGCGCUAAUACCGCAUACGACCUACGGGUGAAAGCAGGGGAUCUUCGGACCUUGCGCGAUUGAAUGCGCCGAUGUCGGAUUAGCUAGUUGGCGGGGUAAAGGCCCACCAAGGCGACGAUCCGUAGCUGGUCUGAGAGGAUGAUCAGCCACACUGGAACUGAGACACGGUCCAGACUCCUACGGGAGGCAGCAGUGGGGAAUAUUGGACAAUGGGCGCAAGCCUGAUCCAGCCAUACCGCGUAGGUGAAGAAGGCCUUCGGGUUGUAAAGCCCUUUUGUUGGGAAAGAAAUCCAGCUGGCUAAUACCCGGUUGGGAUGACGGUACCCAAAGAAUAAGCACCGGCUAACUUCGUGCCAGCAGCCGCCGUAA
rnacentral:rRNA from 1 species